GUGAAUCAUCGAAUUUUUGAACGCAAAUUGCGCCUUUUUCGGAAGGCAUGUCUGUUUGAGGGCACCAUUUAACAAAUAAUGUGCAUGCUGUGUGUAUUUUUACGCAUACGUGCACACGUUGAUGAGCUUUUCCAAAAAAAGAAAAUUUUUUGAUGGCAUGUAAUGAAAAGCGUGAGCUUUUCUCCAGUUUUUCUGAGAGUAGUAAAAUUCUUUUUCGGAGCUUGGGUCUUUUGAA
rnacentral:misc_RNA from 1 species